rnacentral:rRNA from 1 species
CACGUAAGAAUCUACCUUAUGGUUGGGGACAACAGUGGGAAACCGGUGCUAAUACCCAAUAUGCGCAUGCGUGAAAGUUUCGGCGCCAUAAGAUGAGCUUGCGUCUGAUUAGCUAGUUGGUGAGGUAAAGGCUUACCAAGGCGAUGAUCAGUAGCUGGUCUGAGAGGAUGAUCAGCCACAUUGGGACUGAGACACGGCCCAAACUCCUACGGGAGGCAGCAGUGGGGAAUUUUCCGCAAUGGGCGAAAGCCUGACGGAGCAAUACAGCGUGGAGGAUGACGGCUCAUGGGUUGUAAACUC